UACGGGGGGAGCAAGCGUUGUUCGGAUUUACUGGGCGUAAAGGGCGCGUAGGCGGCCACCGCAAGUCGACUGUGAAAUCUCCGGGCUUAACCCGGAAAGGUCAGCCGAUACUGCGGGGCUAGAGUGCAGAAGGGGCAACUGGAAUUCUCGGUGUGGCGGUGAAAUGCGUAGAUAUCGAGAGGAACACCUGCGGCGAAGGCGGGUUGCUGGGCUGACACUGACGCUGAUGCGCGAAAGCUAGGGGAGCGAACGGG
rnacentral:rRNA from 1 species